AGCAAGAUUUUAAGUUGAAGUUUUUGACCGGUGCAACAGGCGUGCUUGCUGGUUCAGAUAUCACCCGCAUUUUCAAGAUUAGAAUGUGACCUCACAGUGUACUCUGCUACAAGCUUUGCAAAAGAUGACGACUUGUUCUCUAGCAAUCUGGUGGGGGUAUCGUAUUCCUCAAUAAGCCCUGCAUCGACAUUUCCAGGGAAAUAAAUCAAGAAGAAUGCAGAUGAAGUUAAGAGUGCCAUUAGUUCAUGUUGAUAGUACUAACCAUGAUCCAGAAGUAGAACCUUGUCACUAUCAAGAACAGAAGUAAUUCGAUGUGCAAUGGUUAUGACUGUGGAAUCGACAAAGUGUUGUCUAAGGGUUUGCUGAAUCAGAUUAUCCGUGGCUGUAUCAACUGAUGCAGUGGCUUCAUCAAGCACUAAGACCUUGCUUUUCUUCAGUAGAACUCGGCCAAGACAAACCAGUUGCCUCUGACCCAUGCUCCAAUUCUCUCCAUUCUCAAUAACUGCCAAAUGCAUGCCAACAUUAGGAGUCUUAUAUGAGGUUACUAUUUAGAUUUUAUGUUAGCAUGGCGGGAGAAAUAACCUGCAGAAUCUAGCUUUCCUUCUUUCUUCCUGACUUCAUCUCCAAGCUGGCACUUAUCCAGAGCCUGAACCAAUGAGUUAGGAAAGCAAUAAUUCAUUUGUACAAUAUUAAGAAAUGAAGCAAAAGAAAACUAUUUUUCUACUGUCUUAAGAAAACAUAGUAGAGGAAAACCACAUGUCCACCUUACUUUUUGAGUAUAUCAAUAGAAUAAACAAAGCCUACCUCCCAAAUCUGUUCAUCUGAGUACUCUUCAAGUGGGUCAAGGUUGCUCCGUACAGUCCCUUCAAACAUGGUUGGAUCCUGAGGGAUAAUGCUUAGUCUAGACCGCAAAUCAUGUAGUCCAAUAGAAGAGAUGUUGGUACCAUCUAUCAUAAUCUGACCAGCGGCAGGUUCAACAAUUCGAAAGAGGGUCUGUAUGAGGGUUGAUUUACCACUGCCAGUUCGCCCUACAAUGCCAGUCUUCAUUCCUCCCAGGAAAGUGCAUGUGAGACCUCUCAAUACAAGUGGCAUGUGUGGGGCAUAGCGGACCUACAUCCACACUCACCGUCAUCAAACAUAUGGAAAUUCCUCUGACCAGAGGAAGCCAUGAAUAACCCUCUAGCAUGUAUAUAAAUAGAAAUUACCUGCAAAUCCUGAAUAUCAACUUCUCCAUGUGAAGGCCAAGAACAUGCUAGCCUGUUUUCUUCUGUGACAAGAGGAGGCUCGCUUGGAAUGGAAGUGUAUUGAAGUAUUCUCUCAACUGAUAUAAUUUUAUUCUCCAUAUUGCAAAGAUUCCAUAUUACCCAAGCUUGUAUCAUGUUCAAAUUAAGUCCAUAUGUCACUGCUAGGCCUGCAAUACCUUUAAUGGAAGUGGAAAAGAGUGUUAGUAAUUCUCCUAUGCCAUUUGCUAUUGAGAGUGAAAUAGAUAAUCAGUGAAUAUACCAGAACAGAGAUACUUACCAGGAUCAAUUACUCCCUCUGGAACAGAGAUUAAGAAAACCAAAGAGAAGGCAAAUGUAGCAGAAGAUAGCAUAUCCAAGCGGAAGCACAGCCAUUCCAUUGCACCAGCAAUGUUGAACUUGGGCCGUAUAUACCCAUCUACCAAUUUCAUGUUUGUAUCCCUGAAUCUAGAUUCUUGAUCAAAGCUUCUGAUGGUCAUAGAUCCUGCUAUAGUUUCAGAAAAAUGUUGAAUUACUGGAGCUUUGCAUACUCCGGCCAAUCUUGACAGUUCUCGUGCUGAAGGUAUGUAAUAUUGCUGCAUAAUUAUAAUGUUGUAAGAACCUUUUGCUCAUAUAUGAUAUAAAUCUAAGCUUUAAGGGGUAUUGAAAAAAAGGGAGAAAAUGGUUUUGGAAAUGAUAAAAAAAUAGAAAUACAUUAGUUAAACAUUGCAUCUAAACAGAAAAACCUGCAGUCUAUCUUGCAGCCAAUUUCAUUACUCUUAUCUGAAAAGUGAAUUGGCACUCAAAAACCACCAUAUCAACACUAAAGAAACUUUCAUUCUGAGGCCAUAUUAAUUGGCAUGGCACAUUCAUAUUUGCACCUCCUUAAUAUGCAAUGCUUGUGACUGAGCCCCAGCUCAGCUGGAUCAGAAAGGAACAUGAACAUGUCAUGAAUUGUAAGAGUUAUCCUGAAUUAGGAUUCCAUUUUAAUGCAGUUGGUUUAAAACGAAUCAAAUUUCUCAGUAAGCAAUGCACUACUCCAAUUUUUUUUCUAAGCAACAUUUUGGAGUAAAGCUUAGUUUAUACCCAAAAUGGUUUUGAGCCUACUGGCAUUUUCAUGGACAUAUGAUUGAUAAUCUAAUGUGGAAGAGUACAUGGCAUAUGUAAGCAAAGAAAAUAAAUAAUGUAAUAUGAGAAACAUAAGGUGAUCUCAACUACAGAGCAUGAGAUGUCAUGUGACAAAGCCAUGUGUUGGCAUUAACUAACAAGAAGAGGUCCUAAUAAGUUCACAAUGGUUACCUGAUACCAGAUGCAGGUUGCAAUCACAGGAAUAAAGACAAUGAAAACCUGCCAUGCAACCUGUGACAUAACUGCAAUAAUUCCCAGGAGCUGAAUCAAUUGGAAGGCAAAUGCCCCAACUUGCAUUGGCAUGGUUGUAUCGAUCGUACUUUGGUCUGUAGAAGCCUGUAAAAAAGGGAAGGAUCAAUUAAGUGAUAUUCUAACACUAGCUUUGGUAAAUGGGGAAAAGUGCAAGGCAGAAAUAGAUAUAUAUUCAUAUUUUCACUUACUCUGUUUAGAAUUCGCCCACUUGGGGUGGCAUCAAAGAAUGACAUUGGGGCACGGAAGACGCACAAAUGCAUUUUAUUGAAGAGUAUAGUAGCUGUCUUGUAACCAGCUGUUACAAGAAGCAUGGCUCUGGAAAGGACGCAAAAAGAACUUCCAACGGCCAAAGCUACAUAAACAAUUAUGAGAGUAGAACCUCUAACUGCAGGUUUCACAUCAUCUGACACGGGACUUGCCCAAGCCAUCCAAUAAUUGCUUCCAAUCUGAAGCAGCUGAAAGAGAAUCUGUGACAACAAUAUAAAGGGCACAAGAGCUCCUCCAUAUGCUGUCCUGAUGUAUUUCCAAUAAACCCAUAGCCCAACUUUACCUUUCUCUCUCUCCUCUUCUUGAACAAGCUGACCUUUUGUCCCAUCUAUCUCCUCUGCUUUACCAUUUUGGCCACCUCUGUUUUCUUCUUUUUCAACUACUUCAGAAGUACCACCAAUAUUAUCACUAUCCUCAUGGAUACUUAAUUUUUCUGAAAGUGACCCUGCCUCUACAGAAUUGAGUGCUAACAAAGCUUUCUUAUGUGCACCAACAAGUUCCAUAAAAUCAGUUCCAGAGUUGAGAAUUUCAUUGUACUUUCCUGCUUGUGUAACCCUUCCAUCUUUCAUGACCUGCAGGUAUGCUACAUUUCUUAAGUUUAUCUAAAACAAAGGCAAGGAAGAAAAAACACUGUAAUUACUCACCAGUAUGAGAUCAGCAGCAGGUAAGAACUCUACUUGAUGUGUAACAUAAAUCACUGUUUUCGAACCCAAGAGACCCAGCAAACAUUCCUGUUAUAUGAAGAUUACUUACAAAUACGAUCAAUGAAAGAUUUUUUUUUUUUCAUUUAAUAUAUAUAAUAAAAGGGAAAGGAAACAAAACAAAGGGCAAUGGCAUAGCAAGGGUCCCUAAUUACCUCAGCCAGACCAAGAACCAAAUCUUAUAUAGCCCAUAGCAGUGCAUAUUAAAACAUACAAGGAUAGCUCAUUUUCUACUUAAUGCAAUGGCAUUGUAUAGAUAAUAUGUUGUUUUACUUCAUAUAUAUAUAUAUAUAUAGAUCAAACUCAGGCUUUUAUAAGAGAAAAAAAUUACCUUAAAGAGAUGGGUUCCUGUAUGAGCAUCCACGGCACUGAAGGGGUCAUCAAACAGAUAAAUAUCAGCAUUUUGGUAGAGCGCACGUGCAAUCUGUAUUCUUUGCUUCUGGCCACCACUCAUAUUGAUUCCCCACUCACCUAUUACUGUCUGAUCACCAAAUGAGAGAACCUCCAGGUCCUUCUUUAAGGAACAUGCAUCAAGGACCCUUUCAUACCUUUCUCUUUCCAUCUCCUUACCAAACAAGAUGUUCUCUUCUAUCUUGCCACUCUGUAUCCAAGGAGACUGAGCAAUCUAAAGAACCAGUGCCUCACUGAAAGGCACUCAACAAGCUUCGCAACAAAAAAAGCCAUAGCCAAAAGAUAGCCUUCAUUUUUGAAUUCCCUUCGCCCAUUGAGAUAUUGAACGAAGGUAUCAAUAAGAUAGGGCCCAACAUAAGAUGCUAAUGUGUUUACAAGUACCAAGAAAGCCGUCAAUAGGAUUUCUGCCCAGCAUGCAAAGAUCAAUGCUUUCACCAGCUUAAGCGUGGUCACUCCACUACUUCCACCACUAUCACACUGGAGCUUAUUACUAAAUGCUGGAAAGACCCCCGCAACGCUGUUGCUGGUAUCAAGCUGAGGAACAUCCUCAAGGUCUAAUGUUUUCUUGUUACCCUCAGCAAUCAAGGGACCGAUCCAAGAGAAAGUAAGAAGGCUAAAAAAACUAGCUUUUGAAAAGGGGGUCACAGUUGCUUCCCCCUUGGAUUUAUUAGACUCCACUCUACUUAUACUGGUACUACCAUUCAAAAGGGGUUCCCUAAGAAUCGAUUCCUCGCCUUGAUUCUUUCCCAAAAAUCCCGAAUAGCACAAGAACAGACCAGUUAUGACGUAGACAAUAUCGGGCACCAAAUAUUGAAUUCGUAGGGACUGGUGUCUCUUGACAAUAUCUAGAACAAGGCAAUAACAUGAGAUGGAGAAGUAAAAUCCCCACCAAACUCUUAACAAAAAUGGGAACUUUGGUUCAACAGAACCAAUGAAUUGAGUGUGCAAAUAUACACAAACUGCUCCCCAGGCAAGUGUUCUGAGCACUAAAUCCAAAAGGGUCACCAGCCUUUCAUCAGACCAGCCAUUUCUAUACCAAUAAAAGUAGUUCAAAAAACACAACAACAAAUUCAACAGCGACAGACCCUGACAGCAAGCAAACGUUUGCUUAUAGUACAAAAACCUAGUCCUCUUACAAUUUUCAGGAGCACCCCCCUUGAUUCUCUUGCACACCCAUGAUACAAAUAGGAGAAGCAACAAAACUAGAUGCAAUGAGGCAGAAAAUGCACGUAAAAAGACGGGGUUUAGCAGAAAACCAGUACCUGAAUACGUAACCAUGGCUUCGAAUCCCACCAUUUUUUGAGAAUCUUUGGCCUCUGCUAAAAGGGUAUUUUGGAGGUGUGCUUAUGAAUGGAAAGGGAUGAUUUCUGGUGCUUUAUAUACGAAAAAAAAGACGGUAGGUCCCCGGUUUUAAGAGCGUAUUCCACAAAGUAAGUCAGUCAAAGGAUAUUUCCUUGGGCGCGGGAUAACUUGGCAGCCAAGCUUCAGUUGACGGAGAUAGUGAGGAAGCGUGGCAGGCACGAAGAGAGAGAACUUUAAGGAGAUCGAGACAAUUUUAUUGUUUCUAUUUUUUUUUUUUAUUGAUUAUCCUUUUUGUAGAAUUUUUAUUUCCAAAACCCAAACACAUUUAGAUUUCAUUCUAACCAACUACUUACUGGUGUCAUAAAUAUUUAGGAUUUUUAUUUAUUUAUAAUCAUCGAUGUUCGGACCAGUUUACGAGUCUAGUAAAUUUCCCGUGGCUUUGAGAGAACUCGAAUUGAUGACGGGAAACAAACUUAAGAUGGGACUAAUUGAACAAUCCCUCAAGGUUAUAAAUAUUUGAGAAAUUUUUUUCUAUUAUUUUAUUUUCUAUAAUAUUUCUUAGAGACAAAUUUCAAACAACCAUGAUAAAAUAAAAAAAUUUAUUUAGCACUUUAAUUUUAAUUAUCAUUAUUUAUUGAAAUUUAAAUUCAAUUAUGAAAUUUCAUUUCUUUUUAAGUAGAAAAUGAAUUGAAUCCCCCUUUCAUCAUCACAAUGACUAUAUUUAUUAAAAGUCAAAAUUAUAGUAGGAGUCAUAAUUGGCAGUUCAUCUUGUCAUCUUGUGUUUUGCUUCUAAACAACCGGUCAAAAAAUAACCUUAAAAAUAGGCUACACAAAAUGUGGAGAUUCCAAAAUAUUGGUUUUAUAUAUGUAUAUAUUUAUCUUUUUGGGGUAGAGCAUGUGGAUAUCCAUGAAAGACAAAAUACUUUCUGCUCCACCAUCUGGCUGGAAAGUCCCACUUUGGCGGACCACAGGAGGGUCGGGAUUCACAGGACCACAAAGCCUUGAAAAUUAGGGCCACUCACAUGACUUUAUAUGCAACAAUGACAUAUAACCAAUUCCCUAUUUAUGAUGCCACUGAUUUUCUAGCCACGUGUUUGACUAUUGAAUAAUUAUUGUGGAAUUAUUUUCUUUUGAUGUAUGUAUCGUGUAAGUUUCUAAAAGUUAAAAAUGGGUUCACUUUUAGUGAUUUACACUUAAAAGGAAUUGAAGUUCUGAAAUGUUGGAGAAGAACUUCAAGGGGAAAUUUUAAAAUAAGGAAGUGAUGAUAUGAUUAAGAUAGUUAGGGUAAAGAUUAAAAAUUAGAUUUAUGGUUAAUUAUAAUGUUUUCAGAAUCGGAUCGGUUAUUGAAUUGAAAAAAUUACUGGUUCACGAUUCAUUGGUCGGACCGACGGUUGAACCGCGAUCGAAUCGAUGAUGUCAUAAAUAUACAAUUUAUAAAUGAUUAAAAUUUAAAAUAAUUAUAAAAAUAAAAAUAAUAUUUUAUAUAUUAUUUAAAAAUUAAAAUUUUAUUUAAAAAUCAUAAAAUUAGUUUCAAAUUAGAAAUUUAAAUUAAAAUCAUAAUUUUAAUUUAAAAUUUAAAAUUUUAAUAUUUAUUUUUAAAUAAAAAACUUAUUUUAAAAUCAAAAAUUUAUUUAAAAUUGUAAUGUUUUUAAUUUUACCAUCAAACCAUAUCUCAUACCAUCCAUGUAAAUCCAUAUAAAAGGCAUUUUUUACUUUAUCAAUUUGAGCUUUCAAUCUCCACAACACUGUUGCUGUGAAGACUAAUAAAUAAACCAAAAAAGAAAAAUUUAUAAAAAUUGAAUAUUAAACAUAAUAUCAUAGUAAAAAAACACAUAAAAAUUAUUAAAUAUAAAACAUAAAAAAUAAUUUUGAAAAUAUCAACUUGCAGCUACUGGGCAGAGUCGGAAGGCGCACACAAUCGGGUUUUCCGGAGAGGAACUUUGAUCGGGGGGAUGGUUGCAACGGGUUUUGCAUCGGGGCGGUCAAGAGGGCGGGCAAGCGAUGUAACGACUGGGGAAACCACUGGUGGAAGCUGGCGUAGGUGUCGCAGCGUGUUGGGGGGCGAUAGCUUCUUUACCUUCAAUUCAGAUGGAGAAAGAAGGGUUAAGGUGUUUUUAUGUCACGCCCCAAGACCCACUCCAAGGGCGUGACGGUCAUUUCACACCUCAAACUCGGAGGGUUAAAGUGUAACUUGACCCAAACAAUUAUCUUGUAACUAGAAGUUACCAAUUACCAAAUACUUGUUCAGAGUAGCGGAACAAAAUUCUAAAAUCUUCAAAACUCAACUUUAAAACUAAGCAUCCAUCAACCAAAAUCCAUUAUCCAAAUAGAUUGCAAACUCAAACAAUUCAAGUUCUAACAAAACUUUCAUAAUCUCCAAAUCUCAACUUCAAACUAUCAUAAAAAAAAAAUUUAAAAGUUCAAUAUCUAAAUAGCUUCCAAAAACCAAAUAAUCCAAAUGAACAUAAACUUAUAAGCUAACAAUGUCCAAAAAUAACAUCCUAAGCAAAAUCCUAAUGAUGACCAUUCCCUGACCCAACCAUCACUUCUUGUCCGAACUAAGGGUACCUGAAAAGUAAUCAAUAAAGGGGAAUGAGCUCAAAGCCCAAUAAGGAAUAUUAAUAUAGUUUCAUGGAUCAAAUAGUUUCAAUUAUGCUUACAAAUAGGAGAUUUAGUGUAAAAUCCUUUUCAUAAGAACAUUUGAGUACAAAUAUGCUAAUACAUUUUAAGGUGUUUAACCAAACAUUUUCCUAUAUAUCAAAAUCAUUUUAUAUUCAUUUUAAAUCAAAUACAUUUCAAUUGUUUUCACUCUGGUUAACAAAUAACAAAUAGUGCCCAUUUAAGUGGGACUUUACAAAUAGGUGGCUAGCCUCAAAUGUUCAUUUUAAGGUGGAUGGAACCAAACACUACUAGUACUAGUAACCUCUAACCAAACCCUUACAGGGUGGGGUUCAAACCAAACCCUUAGAGGAUGGGGUUCAAACCAAUUACAUUUCCCACCACGAAAAUGUAAAGAUCAACUAUUAUAUCCCGUUGACAAUGGCAAAAAAGUCAACUAUUUUAUCCCGUUGACAAAGGCUAAAUAAACCAAAGUCAAAUUCUUUAAUUUAUUUAUUUCAACUUACAAAUGCAGAAAAUCUCCAAGUAUUUCAAUAUAAACAAAAUAAAUGUUAUAACACAUUUUUCCAUACAAAAAUAUAUUUGAUUCAUGCUUAAAAGCAAAAUUAACAAUUACACAUUUCAAAUAACACAAACAAACAAACACACACACACACACACACACACAUACACACACACACACACACACACACACAUAUAUAUAUAUAUAUAUAUAUAUAUAUAUAAUUAUUUUCUUUUGCAAAAUCUGUAUUAAUUUCCCUUACCUCAAAAGAAGUCCUAAAAAAGUUGGAAGAAAAAUAAUUCUAGAAAAUUUGCUCUUCAGCUAAUAAAAGAUAAGAGAAAUAACCAUUACUAUUUAUCUAAAAUUAUAGGUUUGACAAUCCUAAAAUUUUAGGUAUUCAAAUUAAUGUUUUUAAUUAUGAAAGAUAAUUUAAUCUAUUUUUAUUUUAAAAAAAUUAAUAAAUCUAAUUCAUAUAAAACUUAAAUUUUAUUUUCAAUUUAUUUCUUAGGACAUAACAUAAUUUAAUUAAAUUACAAUUUAUUCUACUAAUUAAAUUUUAUGCUACUUAUUAACUUGCACUCAUCAUUAGUAUAUAAUAUUGAUAACUUCUAUUCUCUCACUUUCAGUUUUUUUUUUUCACUAAACAUAAAUUGUAUCCCCAACAAUUCUCCAUUAUUGCUAACAUAAUAUAUAUAUAUUAACCACCAAACACCAUCCGUACACAUCUUCCUUUAUUAUUAAUAUUACUAUAUAUUUUUUUCUUUUCACCAUUCUCCAUCUUCCACAAGCACACAUUCUUCUUUUUUUUUUUUAAAAAAAAACUUCCUCUAGUGCACACACGUUCUUUUUCUUUCUUUCUUUUUUGCCCUAAUAUUUUCUAAUCCCUUAAGCCACAUAUAACAAUAUAUUUAUGUGCUCAUUUAUUUUUAUAUUUUUUUUUAAAAAAAAUCAUUACUUAGAUCUAUUCAUCUAAGAAAUUUUGAAUUUCCCUAUUUUCAUCAAUAGAACAAUUUAUAUUCCUAAUUUCAAUAUUUUGACCUAAAAGUUUUAAAUAGGUCAACCUUAACCUGAAUCGAGAUCUUCUAGAUAAUCAUUUUUUUUUUAACUUAAGAUUUCCCAAUUUCUGACAAUAAAACCAGCAAUAAUCCUAAAUUUCCAAUAUUUUGAUAUUAAAACGAAUUAAAAAAAUAAACUAACCCUAAUCUAAAUAAAAAAAAUUCAAAGAAUAACUAGCGUGUUCAAAUAUAAAUAACGAAUAUAAUAUAUUAAUUUAGGGUUAGAAUCUUACCAGGAAAAAAAACUUGAACUUCAACUCUGAAUCUCUAACCCUUGAGCCCUAUGAUCUCCAACUCUCUACUUCUGGUUGAUAGAGUUUUCUAAAUGAAGAAAACAAGAGAAAAAGUCCAAUUUAUACCUAGGAUUUUUAAUUGUAAAAGGACUCUUUCACUUUAAUGAAUUUAAUUAAUUACUUAAUUACUUUAUAAAUUACUAGUUUGCCCCUAGAUUAAAUUUUGGGGUGUUACAUCCUCCCUUCCUUAAAAAAGUUUAGUCCUCUAAACUUGACAUACUUGGGUCUUGAAAAAGAUGUGGGUGCUUUUUUCUUAUCUCCUCUUCUAAUACCCAAGUGGCUUCUCGAAUAUUGUGAUUGCUCCAUUGGAUUUUUACUAACUUGACAACAGCAUGACAUAGUACCUUGUCCAUCACAUCCAUAAUCUGAACGGGCACCUCUUCAUAGGUCAAGUCCUUAGAAAUUUGAAUAGGCUCCAACUCCACAACAUGAGAAGGAUCAUAAAUAUAUUUCCUCAAAGUCGAAACAUGGAAUACAUUAUGAAUCUUAGAUAGACUUGGGGGCAAGGCCACUUUAUAAGCCAAAUUGCCUACUCUUUCUAAUACCUUAAAUGGUCUCACAAAACGAGGACCGUAUUUCCCUUUUCUUCCAAAUCUCAUUAUAGACUUCAUAGGUGAAACUUUCAAGAAAACAUGAUCACCCACCUCAAACUCCAAAUCUCGUCUGCGAUUAUCAGCAUAACUUUUCUGUCUACUUUGUGCUGUUUUCAAUAUUUCUUUAAUUAAAGAGACCUUUUCAACAGUCAACUGCACAAGUUCAGGCCCCAAAAGUUUCUUCUCUCCAACAUCAUCCCAACAAACAGGAAACCAACAUCUCCUACCAUAUAAAGCCUCAAAAGGUGUCAUCCCAAUGGUAGCUUGAAAGCUAUUAUUAUAGGCAAACUCCACUAGGGGCAAAUAAUCAUCCCAAUUACCUUUUAGGUCUAAAGCAUAAGCUCUCAACAAAUCUUCCAAGACCUGAAUUACCCUCUCUGAUUGACCAUCAGUCUGCGGAUGAAAAGUAGUACUAAAACUCAACUUAGUACCUAAUGGUUUUUGUAAACUAUGCCAAAAUCUAGAAGUGAAAUGAGGAUCUUUGUCAAGUACUAUAGAAACAGGUACACCAUGCAUUCUCACAAUCUCCUUAAUAUAAAGAGAAGCCAAACGAUCCAUAGAAAAAUUUACUUUCAUAGGCAGAAAAUGAGCAAACUUUGUCAAUUGAUCCACAAUUACCCAAAUAGCAUUAUUACCCCCUAAGGUUCUUGGCAACCCUGUUACAAAGUCCAUGGUAAUAUGUUCCCAUUUCCAUUCAGGAAUAGAAAGUGGUUGUAAUGAUCCUGCUGGUCAUUGAUGCUCAGCUUUCACCUAUUGGCACACCAAACACUGAGUCACAAAUCUUGCAAUAUCCCACUUCAUACUUGGCCACCAAUAAUUUUGCUUCAAAUCUCUAUACAUCUUCAUCCCUCUUGGGUGGAUUGCAAACUUAGAACAAUGAGCUUCUUCCAAUAGCUCUCUCCUUAAAUCUCCAUAAUUUGGGACACAAAGUCUAGUCACAAAUCUCAAAAUCCCAUCAUCUGAUCAGACAAAGUCAGGCUUACUACCCCUCUUAACUUCCUCCAUAAGCUGCACUAAUUGCAUAUCAUUCUUUUAUAGGGUCUUAAUUUUCCCAACCAAGUCUGGUUGCACUCUAAAGUUUUCCACAAGAGCUCUAGAGUCCAAAACCCUUAUAUGGAGUUGUAAACUCCUCAAAUAUUCCAAUAAUUGCCUCCGACAACCUCUAAUAGCUGCUAAGGAACCAACAGAUUUCUUGCUCAAGGCGUUAGCCACAACAUUCGCCUUCCCUGGGUGAUACUGAAUAAUGCAGUCAUAGUCUUUAAGUAGUUCAAUCCACCUUCUCUGUCUCAUGUUCAAUUCCUUUUGGGAAAAUAAAUACUUCAAACUCUUAUGAUCUGUGAAUAUCUCACAAGUUUCACCAAAAAGAAAAUGUCUCCAGAUCUUAAGUGCAAAAACCACUAUAGCUAACUCCAAUUCAUGAGUAGGAUAAUUUCGUUCAUAAGGCUUCAACUGUCUAGAAGCAUAAACUACAAAUUUCCCAUGUUCCAUAAGAACACAACCCAAACCCUGACGAGAGACAUCACUAUACACCACAAACCCUCCUAAGCUUGAAGGGAUAGUUAAAAUAGGAGUUGUCAUUAAUCUAUUCUUUAACUCUUGGAAACUAUGUUCACAAUCAUUAAACCACUCAAACUUAACCCUUUUCUGAGUCAAUCUGGUCAGAGGUAGGGCGAUCUUAGAGAACCCCUCAACAAACUGCCUAUAAUAACCAGCCAGUCCUAGGAAACUUCGAAUUUCGAUCACAGUAUUAUGUCUCCUCUAAUUUGACACAACAUUUACCUUUCCAAGGUUAAUAAAGAUGCCAUCCUUGGUCACCACAUGCCCAAGGAAAGAGACUUUGUUUAACCAGAACUCACACUUCUUUAAUUUAACAUACAAUUGCUUAUCUCUGAGAGUCUGCAAUACAAAACUCAAAUGGCGCUCAUGCUCCCCCCUACUCCUUAAGUACACCAAAAUAUCAUAUAUAAAAACCACCACAAACUAAUCUAAAUAGGGCUUGAAUACCCUGUUCAUUAAGUCCAUAAAAGUAGUAGGUGCCUUAGUCAAACCAAAAAGCAUAAGCAAAAACUCAAAAUGCCCAUAUCUAGUUUGAAAAGCAGUUUUGGAUACAUCUUCACUUCUAAUCCUUAACCGAUGAUAACCAAACCGAAGAUCAAUAUUAGAGAACACACAUGCACCCUAAAGUUGAUUAAACAAAUCAUCAAUCCGACGAAGGGGAUACUUGUUCCUCACCGUCACAUUAUUCAACUCUCUAUAAUCAAUGCAGAGUCUCAUAGAUCCAUCAUUCUUCUUUACAAAUAAAAUAGGAGCUCCCCAAGGUGAAAUACUAGGCCUAAUGAAGCCCUUAUCUAACAACUCCUGAAGUUGAAUCUUCAACUCCUUAAGCUCCAUAGGUAUUUUCCUGUAAGGGGUCUUAGAGAUAGGAGUUGUCCUUGGUGCCAAAGCAAUGGUGAACUCCAUCUCUCUCUCUAGUGCCAAGCCAGGUAGAUCCUUUGGAAAGACAUCAAGAUGGUCCCUUAUAAUGGGUAUGUCUUCCAACUUUAAAUCAUUUUUCCCAUUCAUAACAUAAGCCAAAAAGCCUUGACAACCUUUCCUGAGCAAAGAACUAGCUCGCAAGGUUGAGAUCAUAUGCAAUGGUUUGUUCACAUGCUUCCCCUCAAAACUAAAAUCAGCCUAACCAGGAAUGCUAAACGUCACUCUUUUCCUAAAACAAUCAAUAGAUGCAUGGUAUGAAGCUAACCAAUCCAUCCCCAAAAUCACAUCAAAAUCCUCGAGGUCAAAAAGUACUAAGUCAAAUGUUAUCUCUCUAUACCCAAUCAUCACACUACAAUCUCUAAGUAUUUUAUUAACCACAACAAAAUCUCCAAAGGAGUAGCAACAAAUAAAUCAAAGUCCAUGUUAUCAAUCAACAUACCCAACAAACCAGCAAAAAAUACGGAAACAAAAAAGUGCGUUGAACCAGGAUCAAUCAAGGCUCUAGAAAAUAAGGUAUGAAUUCGAAGAGUACCUAUUACCACAUCAGAAGUAGCCUGGGCAUUUCUAUGAGUCAUAGUAAAUACCCGCCCUUGAGCCCUAGGUUUCUGUCUAUCAUUUUUAUUCUCCUCCUUAGGCUUCCCAAAUGCAAACUUCUUAUUCUUUAGACAAUCCCGAACCAUAUGUCCCUAUUUUCCACACCUAAAGCAAGCCUCUGUCUCUCUGAAGUAUGGCCUACCCCCAUGCUUCUUACCAUAAGUAGGACAAAUCCCAUCUAAAUUUUGUGCUGCUUUUCCUUUAUUCUGAUUUCUACUUAGAGCAGACUUUUUCUGUGCUUGGUUACCAUGAGCACCAUCAUUUCUAUUCCACUUCCUUUGUUGUUCCCUAUACUGGUGAAGCUUUUCAUUAUCCUUCUCUGCAAUAAGGGCUUUGUCUACCACCUGUGAAUAAACACUAAGCUUCAUAAUUGAUAUCUUAUUCUUCAGAUAAGGCUUCAGUGCAUCUUGAAACUUUAAUGCUUUUUUCUCCUCUAUAGCAAUCAACUGUGGGACAAAACGUGAUAGUUCAGUAAACUUAGCCUCAUACUAGGCCACCAUCAAAUUUCUGUAUUCCAAACGGACAAACUAUCCCACCUUUUGUCGUCGAACACUGUCAGGAAAGUACUUCUUAUAAAAAGCCUCUCUAAACUGACUCCAAACAAUAGGCCCCUGAUCCUCCAAAAGCCUAUUAGUCAUACGCCAUCAAUGGUCUGCCUCUUUGUCUAACAUAAAUGCUGUAUAAGAGGCUUUUUGCACAUCAGAACAAUCAAUGACAUCAAAGAAUUUUUGUAUCUUCAUAAUCUAAGUCUUUGCCUCAGUUGGAUCUAAAGGACUAGAAAAGUAAGGGAGACCCUACUUCUUAAAGUCAUCAAAGGAGCUACCUCUAGUAGAUGAGGAUUGUCCUUAACCAUUACUUCCAGUAGCUCUAGCCUGACGCUCAACCAAGCCAGCCAAAGUCCCUAAAUAUCUAUAAAGACCUUCAAUACUCAUAGUGGGCAAAGCCUCAAGUGGAGAAGGUAUAUCAUCAUUAGGCUGACUAUUUUGGGAAGAUGCAAGUCUCCUUGGUGGCAUGGUGUCCUAUAAAGCAAUACGUAUAACUAAAUUAGUCACUAAGAAGCCAAAUAAGCAAAUUAAAAAUUUAAGGAAUAAAAGGAAUCAUACUAGAUGAAGUUGAAACUUAAACUAAUGUGUCACUCAUCUAUUUCCAAAGGUAAACUAAACAAGUUCUCAUCAAGAUCAUAACUUGGUGCUUUGAUACCACACUGUCACACCCCAAGACCCACUCCAAGGGCGUGACGGUCAUUUCACACCUCAAAUCCGAAGGGUUAAAGUGUAACCUUACCCAAAUAAUUAUCUUGUAACUAGAAGUUACCAAUUACCAAAUACCUGUUUAGGGUAGUAGAACAAAAUUCUAAAAUAUUCAAAACUUAACUUUAAAACUAAACACAUAAACCAAAAUCCAUUAUUCAAAUAAAUUGCAAACUCAAACAAUUCAAGUGCUAACAAAACUUUCAUAAUCUCCAAAUCUCAACUUCAAACUAUCAUAAAAAAAAUUUACAAGUUCAAUAUCUAAAUAACUUCCAAAAACCAAAUAAUCCAAAUGAAUAUAAACUUAUAAGCUAACAAUGUCCGAAAAUAACAUUCUAAGCAAAAUCCUAAUGAUGACCAUUCCCCAACCUAGCCAUCACUCCUCGCCCAAAUUAAGGGUACCUGAAAAGUAAUCAACAAAGGAGAAUGAGCUCAAAGCCCAAUAAAGAAUAUUAAUAUAGUUUCAUAGAUCAAAUAGUUUCAAUUAUGCUUACAAAUAGGAGAUUUAGUGUAAAAUCAUUUUCAUAAGAACAUUUGAGUACAAAUAUGCUAAUACAUUUUAAGGUGUUUAACCAAACAUUUUCCUAUAUAUCAAAAUCAUUUCAUAUCCAUUUCAAAUCAAAUACAUUUCAAUUGUCUUCACUCUGGUUAUCAAAUAACAAAUAGUGUCCAUUUAAGUGGGACUUUACAAAUAGGUGGCUAGCUUCAAAUGUUCCUUUUAAGGUGGACGGAACCAAACACUACUAGUACUAGUAACCUUUAACCAAACCCCUAGAAGGUGGGGUUCAAAUCAAUUACAUUUCCCACCACGAAAAUGUAAAGGUCAACUAUUAUAUCCCGUUGACAAGGGCUAAACAAACUAGAGUCAAAUUCUUUAUUUUAUUUAUUCUAACUUACAAAUGCAGAAAAUUCCCAAGUAUUUCGAUAUAAACAAAAUAAAUGUUAUAACACAUUUUUCCAUACAAAAAUAUAUUUGAUCCAUGCUUAAAAGCAAAAUUAACAAUUACACAUUUAAAUAUAUAUUUUCUUUUACAAAAUUUGUAUUAAUUUUCCUUACCUCAAAAGAAGUCCUCAAAAACUUGGAAGAAAAAUAAUUCUGGAAAAUCUACUCUUCACCUAACAAAGUAUAAGAGAAAUAGCCAUUACAUUUAUCUAAAAUUAUAGGUUUAACAAUCCUAAAAUUUUAGGUAUUCAAAUUAAUGUUUUUAAUUAUGAAAGAUAAUUUAAUCUAUUCCUAUUUUAGAAAAAUUAAUAAAUUUCUAAUUCAUAUAAAACUUGAAUUUUAUUUUCAAUUUAUUUCUUAGGACACAACAUAAUUUAAUUAAACUACAAUUUAUUCUACUAAUUAAAUUUUAUGCUACUUGUUAACUUACACUCAUCAUUAGUAUAAUAAUAUUGAUAACUUCUAUUCUCUCACUUUCAGUUUUUUUUUUUUUUUCAGUAAACAUAAACUGUAUCCCUAACAAUUCUCCAUUAUUGCUAACAUAAUAUAUAUAUAUAUUAACCGCCAAACACCAUCCGUACACUUCCUCUAGUGCACAUGCGUUCUCUUUCUUUCUUUUUUUUUUUUCCCUAAUAUUUCUAAUCCCUUUAGCCACAUAUAACAAUAUAUUUAUUUACUCAUUUAUUAUUAUUUUUUUAAAAAAAAUCAUUACUUAGAUCUAUUCAUCUAAGAAAUUUUGAAUUUCCCUAUUUUCAUCAUUAGAAUAAUCUAUAUUUCUAAUUUCAAUAUUUUGACCUAAAAGUUUUAUAUAAGUUAACCCUAGCCUAAAUCGAAAUCUUCUAGAGAAUAAUUUUUUUUAAAACCUAAGAUUUCCCAAUUUCUAACAAUAAAAACCACCAAUAAUCCUAAAUUUCUAAUAUUUUGAUAUUAAAAUGAAUUAAAAAAAUAAACUAACCCUAAUCUAGAUUAAUUUUUUUUUGAAAGAAUAACUAGCGUGUUCAGAACUAAUUAACGAAUAUAAUAUAUUAAUUUAAAGUUAGAAUCUUACUUGGAAAAAAAAACCUGAACUUCAACUCUGAAUCUAUAACCCUUGAACCCUAUGUGAUUCAUUCCCAAUUGGUGUCUCAGUUGAUUCAUAUCCUCUCAAUGGUCCCUGACAGUGGUGCCAUUUGAUUCAUGUCCAGCUAGUGUCCCUUGAUUUUGGUCCUCAGAAAGGAGUAAUCAACAAAAUUUAUAACCUAUUACACCAUGAACUAGGGUAGCAAAGACAAAGCUACUAUAGCAUAGUGGCUCUAGGAUCGUUCACUGGGAUGGGUUUUCACUCCACAAUUGAUAUCAAUUCAAAGUUGAAUUGGUGCCUUUUCAUUUCAAGGUUAGCUUUAAAAGAAAACAUAAAGAUGUUUGAAUGAAAAAGGUUUGGUUUUAAACUAACCAAAAAUAGUAACUGAUUUUACUUACAAAGAAAAGUGUUUCUUGGAGUUUUAGAUCACUAGGCUCAGAUUCCUCAUACAAAAAGGGAGUUCCGAUCACUUGUUUCUUUUCCUUGCAUUAGAGAAUUAACAUAUAGUUCAUUCUCCAACCGGUGUGGUACAGAUGCUCCCCAUUAAUGGGUUCAAACACUAAAUCCCUCUCACUGAUACAUCUUGCAAUGGCUCGUGCCUCUCACCUAGCAUUUGCCAUUCAAGGUGAUCUUUAACCUUGGAUUACCCGUCAAAAGCUCGCAAGAGAUAACUAAUGGAUGUCUCCUUAGAGUCCAAAAGCUUACCAAGUGUUGGCUAUUCUAGAAAAUCCUACCUUCAAACCACCUCCCAAAGGCUCGCAAGAGAUAAACUAGUGCAUCUCAAUGGACGAAGAACACUUGCCUUACCAAGUGUUGGCCCAGGUGAUUUAAAGGCGUUUUAAGUUAACUAAAAAGAUAAAAACUAUUAACGGGUCACACUUUCUCUUCAUUAAAAACUAAAACAACAAAACUUCCAAUUUAUGCAUGUGGAAACUUACCCGGCUUUCUUCACUCCAAGAGAUGAAGAGCCUAGCCUCUUAUUCUCUGAGGAAAAAUCCUCAGAGUUUGGUUGGCUAAAAAGAAAAAGUAAAUAAUAUACAAUACAAUCAAAACGAGAAGGUAAGGCAGAGCAAAGGCUCUGUAUUUUACUUCCUUGCAAAACUGUACAAAGGAUUGAUCUCUGAGAACAAGCUCCCGAGAUGAUUUGUAAAGAAAAUUACAAAACUAUAUAUAAGGGGUUAUUCACCCUUUGUUCUUACUUAAAGACUAAGGAAUCCUAUGAUAGGUGGGUUAGAAAGAGACUUUGGGAAUUUUGAAAUCAAAUAUCUAAAGAAAAAUGUCUCAAAAUGUCGGUCGCACAUAUCGAGAAGCUUCAGGAGAACAUCGCGACACUGUGCAAAAUGGUUGUGAAACUCUCUGGGUAAGCGCUAUCAGAGGAUUCGGAUAUGUCUGAUCGGGGAAAUUGAAACGCCCUCCUCUCCCAUCUGGCGUCAGGCGCCGGAUGUGAAAUAUCCGGAGAAGGUGCUGGAUGUGAAAUAUCCGGAGAAGGUGGAACGUCGCCCGGACAGAAUUCCGAAUGUGAGAUACCCGAAGAAGAUGGAACGUCGCAAGGGGGACCGUCUGCGUGUGCAAGGUGUAGGGACCCCUCCCCUUGAUGACACGGAGCGCGCAUCGCUAUCCGAAGCAACUCCAUCCGGAUUCCCCAAGAGGACUCGUGGCGCGCUCCCCUAUCCGGACUCCCUCAGGGAGAAGCACACGAUACUUGCGAUCAUCACACCCGGACGAUAGCAUAUCCUAUCCGGAUAUGUUGUCCGGAUCAUUGACUAAAGUGCACAAGCCUUGCUACGUCAUUCUGACAGCCUGCCACAGCCCACAUUCCACCACCCUCCGAUGGUGUGUUCGGAUGCUCUGUCCGGACAUCUUUUGUAGGGAAGACUGACCAGAACUCAAUCUUGGUUGAAAGCGUGCGUAUCCCAUACUCCUUGCAUUCUGGAUUUGCUUAUGGCAAAGGACUUCAAAGCUUCGGUUCUUCAUGUUUCUGAGCUUUCCAUUGCCUUGCCAUGGAUUCCAAAGAACUCUCCUCAAACUCGGAUUGCUUUGGUGAUAAAAAAGCUAUCAAAACACCAAAACUUAACACAAUUUGAUUAGAAUUGAUUGCAAGGGUCCUUAAUAUGUUAAUUGGGUUAAAAGGUGAUAACUACUACUCAAAAGUGUUUAAAAGAGUUAAUUACAAACUAUGGAAUAACACUUUUUGAGUAGUAAUCACUAUGAUCUCCAAUUCUCUACUUUUGGUUGAUAGGGUUUUUUGAAUGAAGAAGACAAAAGGAAAAGUCCAAUUUAUACCUAAGAUUUCUAAUUGUAAAAAGACUCUUUCACCUUUAAUGAAUUUAAUUAAUGACUUAAUUACUUUAUAAAUUACUAGUUUGCCCCUAGAUUAAAUUUUGGGGUAUUACAUUUUAUAUCCUCCAAAACGGCGUCGUUUUGAUAUUGUAAAUAUUAAAAAAAAAAAAAAUUAAUUGAACCGUCCGGUUCGUUGGUCGGACCGUUGGUUCAACCGGUUCGAUUCCGAUUUAACUUAUUUCCGAGCUAAUUGACUGGAUCAGACUGGAACCAUGACCAGCGGACGGUCAGACCAGCUAAUCCGAUCAAAAUUUUAAAACCAUGGUUAAUUAUCCAUGAAGGGGUGGUGUUGCAUAAAAUUUGAGUCCACCAUAUCUAGGCAUGCUCAAUCAUAUAAAUUUAUAUAACCUUCGACAUCAAGCAUAUUAGGAGAAUGAUAAAAUCAUCACAUCUCAAUCGUCUAUUAUUAAAACUCCUGUAUUGUUGUAAAAUUUAAGAAAAAAUAUAUUUUUAAACAUCUUCAAAUAUUGGGUGUAUGUUAUUCUAUUUAUUAAAUGAACAUUUGAGAGACUUUACUGGAAUUUUUAUUUUUUAUUUUUACUAUGAAUAUCAUAUUUAUUUGUGUAAAACUUUAGAUUUAAAUAUUUGUUUUAACUUAAGAAUUUAAACUCUUCAACAAAGGUAAUCUCAUUUAGCUUUCUAUUUAUUGUAGCCUUGCAACUAAUAUCUAGUUUCAAGUUGAAAUUUUUGUUAAGAGAGAAUUCUAGGCUACAACCAAGAUUUGAAAUAUCGAUAAACAUGGAUAUAUCGGUACUUGGAUUUUAUGAAUAUAUAAGAAAUAUCGGAGAAAUAUCGAUGGAUAUUUUGAUAAAAAUUAUCUAUGGACAAAAAUUAUUCAAAAUUCAUGGGAAUGCUUUAAAAAACACAAAAAAAAAAAAAAAAGAUAAAGUAAGAAUACACAUGUUAAAGUUAUUUUGUAAGUGUAAUUGACAUAACUAUGAUUAAAGAUAACAUUUAUCAAUUUUUAUAAAAAAAAAUAGCUUAAAAAUUCCUUU
rnacentral:lncRNA from 1 species